rnacentral:rRNA from 1 species
AUUGAACGCUGGCGGCAUGCCUUACACAUGCAAGUCGAACGGUAACAGGUCUUCGGAUGCUGACGAGUGGCGAACGGGUGAGUAAUACAUCGGAACGUGCCUAGUAGUGGGGGAUAACUACUCGAAAGAGUGGCUAAUACCGCAUGAGAUCUACGGAUGAAAGCCGGGGAUCGAAAGACCUUGUGCUACUAGAGCGGCCGAUGGCAGAUUAGGUAGUUGGUGGGAUAAAAGCUUACCAAGCCGACGAGCUGUAGCUGGUCUGAGAGGACGAUCAGCCACACUGGGACUGAGACACGGCCCAGACUCCUACGGGAGGCAGCAGUGGGGAAUUUUGGACAAUGGGCGAAAGCCUGAUCCAGCAAUGCCGCGUGCAGGAUGAAGGCCUUCGGGUUGUAAACUGCUUUUGUACGGAACGAAAAGCCCCGGGUUAAUACCCUGGGGUCAUGACGGUACCGUAAGAAUAAGCACCGGCUAACUACGUGCCAGCCGCCGCCGUAA